rnacentral:lncRNA from 1 species
GGCAUAGUAAAUCGGGAACACAAUUGCCAUAUGCUUUUCCAUUGUUACAGGGUUCUGUAUUCGACCAAGCUGCGAAAGUCUAUUCCACAUUGAACUGUAUAAGAAAUGAAGACCUUCGAAAGCAUAUGUUUUUCCAUGGUGAAACCCGACUUGGUUGGAUAAAUAUGCAAGCCUAACCAAGACCAUGAGUUGGACCUUGAAGUACUACAGAUUGGCCGAACCAAAGGGGCGAACACAUACUUGUCUAAUUUUAUAUUUUUGUGAAGGUUGAAAAUGAGCUCCUUCAACGAGAAGUGAGUAGUAGCCGCACAGUAAGAGUGCGGGGUUCUUUCAGAGUUGUAGCCACACAGCGAAAUGGAGGAUUUGGCAAAGUAC